rnacentral:rRNA from 1 species
UACGGAGGGAGCAAGCGUUUGUCCGGAAUCAUUGGGCGUAAAGCGCGCGUAGGUGGCUUCGUAAGUCCGCUGUGAAAGUCAAAGGCUCAACCUUUGAAAGCCGGUGGAUACUGCGGAGCUAGAGUCCGGAAGAGGCGAGUGGAAUUCCUGGUGUAGCGGUGAAAUGCGCAGAUAUCAGGAGGAACACCAAUGGCGAAGGCAGCUCGCUGGGACGUGAACUGAC